UAAAUGUCACAGCCCCAAAGAACUUACAGUCUAUAUCUCAACAUUAAAAAAUGCUGGAGUUUGGUUUAAGCUUUCAGGGAGAGAGGAUGGCUUUUAUGUUUCUGAGUGGGUUUACCCAUCCCUAAUCUGCUUUCUUUUACUUUAAGUGCUGUAUUUGUACCAUGAGGCUCUGAUGGAUAGUCUGUGUAUCUAGGGGUUGGAAGCUGAAAGACACUCUACGCAGUGAUUACCAAAAAUAACCAUCUGACAUGAACCUGCACCAUUGGCCUCAUCAUUGCAAGUGAAUUCUUGCGUGAGGAGGUCAUCACCAAUCUACAAACUGUUUAGCAGAGAAUCAGUCCAGGAAACCAACCAAGAAAAAAGUCUAGAGGUGCAUGAAGAAAAUAAGGAGCAAGAAACCUCUGGCAGUCACACCACUAUAUCGCAACCAGUGGGAGAGAGUGGCCACAAUUCAGAAGACGUGCUACUAAUUCCAGUAUCCCUUUUAAACAUCAGUGAUCCCCCAACAUGGCCCAAGUUCAUAGAUGACAAAAGACCAGCCAAAGUGAAACAUGGACUGUUGCAAAUUAAAGGUAAAAGUUUUCCAAGUCACAAUGGAAGAAAAUUUAAAAAUGGAGGAAAUAUACAAUGGCACUGGCUCAUGUAGUCAAGUAAAGUGGAUGCAUUAUUUUUGCUGAAAGUAUUUGGUGUUGAUAAGCAUCAUCUCAUGGAUGGUGGUGUUCCCUCAAAACAUAACUCUCAAAACUCAUGAGAAAAUCCAUGUUCUUCACAUUGGAAAUAUGGUGAAGUGGAGAGAAUUGGAACUACAACUGAAAACUGAAUCUGCAGUUGACCAGACUUCAUAAUCAUUGUUCGAAAUUGAGAGACAACACUUGUGAGGUGUAUUUGAAAGAACUGUGGCCAUUGUUCUUCACUUAGCAUUUUGUGGUUCCAUGGAAAAAUGUAACCGGUGUGGAAAUGGUAACUUCUUAGGCCAAGUCGAGUUAAUGGCUAAAUUUGAUACUGUGAUGAAGGAACAUGUAAGACAGUUCUUUGCUACAGACACCAUAAUUUAACUUCAAAAUGAUAUCAUUUUGUAUUGUAGGGCUUAUUUCAAAAGGUAACAGGUACAUUUAUUAACAGUGUAAACAAGAUAAAGUAUUACUCCAUUAUUUUGGAUUGCAUAUCUGAUAUCAGACACGAGGAACAAAUGUCUAGACUCAUAGACCUUAAGGCUGAAAAGGACCAUUGAGAUCAUCUUGUCUCAGCUCCUGCACAUCACAGGCCACGGUACCUCACCCACCCACUCCUGUAGUAUGCCUGUAACCUCUCCUCAAGUCAUGACUUAAAGGGUUCAAGUUAAAGAGUAUCCACCAUUUACUCUUUUUCAACCCAGCAAGUGACCCAUGCCCCAUGCUGCAGAGAAAGGUGAAAAUCCCCCAGGGUCUCUGCUACUCUGACAUGGGUGAAAAUUUCUUCUCGACCACAACUAUGGUGAUCAGUUAGAUCCUAACCAUGUCGGCAAGACCCACCAGCUGGGAAAGAAUUCACUGUAGGACUCUAGUUGAGAAGGGCUCUGAGUUACAAUUUCCGGCCAUUGGAGAUAUUUGCUACUAGGAGUCCCAGGUGGGCCACAUGCCAUUGUAGGCUACCUCAUCAUACUACCCCCUCCAUUAACAUAUCAAGAUCAGUCUUGAAACCAGUUAGAUUUUUUUGGCCCCACCACUCCCCUUGGAAGGCUGUUCCAGAACUUCACUCCUCUGAUCAUUAGAAACCUUCCUCUAAUUUCAAGCCUAAACUUGUUGAUAGCCAGUUUAUAGCCCUUUGUUCUUGUGCCAGCAUUGGCCCUUAAUUUAAAUAACUCUUCUCUCUCCCUGGUAGUUAUCCUCUGAUGUAUUUAUACAGAGCAAACAUAUCUCCCCUCAGCUUUCUUUUGGUUAGGCUAAACAAGCCAAGAUUCUUAAGUCUCCUCUUGUAAGACAGGUUCUGCAUUCCUCUGAUCAUUCUAGUGGCCCUUCUCUGCACUCAUUCCAGUCUGAAUUCUUCUUUCUUAAACAUGGGAGACCAAAACUGCACACAGUAAUCAAAGUCGGGUCUCACCAGUCCUACUACACUCAGCCCCAAGAAAGGAGCAGCAAAGGUGGGUCUGCCUAGGGAGACCUCAUGGAUUCAGACAAUCAGAGUCCAGUAGGCUAAGAUAAAAGGAGAUGUGGGGCCUUCCCAGCCAAGAACUGAACUGCUACCACAGGGGCAAGGAAGGGUGCUCCUCUCUAGCCACAAGAACUCAAAAAUAACCAGAGUUUGGUUCUGGAUGUAUUUUCUUAAGCUGAGAUAGAGAGGACCGAGAACUUUAACCCUGAGGUAAGGGGUGAAAAUAAAGGGGCCAGGUGGGAAGAGGCCCAGAGAAGUAGCAGCAACAAAAUGAAGUGAGAAAUACAUGAAUGCCGUUUAUAGGGUCCCUGGGUUGGAACCUAGAGUAGAGGACCAGACUGGGUUCCCGCACCAACCACCAGUGAAGUGGUGUAAACCCUGAGAAGGGGACAAGGCUUGUUGGGAAGCCAGAGUGAAGGGGCUCUGUGGUCCCUGAGAGAGGUUCAUUUUGAUUGUGUGACCCGGAUGGAAGUCCAAGGCCCUGAAGAUCCUUCAAGCAAGGUCGACAACCUAUUGGGGGGUGUAAGGAGUGGGAAAAGGCCUGCAGUACUGCAGGCAUCAGGAGGUGCUCAAAAGGUGAGUGCUCCUUGCACCUGCAACCUUCUUUCAAUGCCCUAAAUGCCAGAUUUGCAAGUGAAUGGAAGGCAACAGGACAUUGGAUAUUAUGGCCUCAGCCUCAGCCUGGUAAACUUCCACUGCUACAAUGAGUUCUGUAUGCUGUUCAUGUUAAGUGACAGAUACACUUAAAGCACAUAAGACCUACCCAUCAUUUCAUAGGGCAAAAAAAGGAUUAAUCUGGAAUAUGUCAGACAGAAAUGAAAUGGAGCAUAGAAACUCACAACUGGGGAUUUGACAUGGAUCUCGAGGAUCGCCAGUGACGAAAUGCUACACGAUGGACAUGAUGAACACUCUCCAAAAUGCAAGAGACAAACAUUCAUUCACAUGAGGUUCCCUGUAGUUCAUAUUCAUCACAGGGCAAUCAUUUCUUAUUGCUGCUCAGUCUCAGUUGUACCACCCUGAAACAGUCUGCAGCUUCAGAGUCCCAAUCCUUUUUCAGAAGGAAUGCAGAAUUAUAAAUUAUACUGUCACCUUUGAUUUUGGGAACCUAAAUUUGAAGCUUGUUUCUCAAUGAUUGGGGACAGCGUGCAUUCCAGCUUAUGAGACUAGACAAAGCCUUUCAGAAGUCAUUAAUGUUACAUUUCUUACAUCUAACAUCCCACAAAGCAAUUUUGCUUUUGGCUUUGCAUAUUGAUUCCUGAAUGAUAAUGUAUGAAUGAUAUUUUCGUCAAUUAAUACAGUAUGAAUUUUUACAU